rnacentral:rRNA from 1 species
UACGAAGGGAACUAGCGUUGUUCGGAAUCACUGGGCGUAAAGCGCGCGUAGGCGGCUUUUCAAGUCAGAGGUGAAAUGCCAGGGCUCAACCCUGGAACUGCCUUUGAAACUGUUAAGCUUGAGUCUCGGAGGGGUUGGCGGAAUUCCUAAUGUAGAGGUGAAAUUCGUAGAUAUUAGGAGGAACACCGGUGGCGAAGGCGGCUCACUGGCCCGGUACUGACGCUGAGGUGCGAAAGCGUGGGGAGCAAACAGG